GUAGGGAAUAUUGGGCAAUGGGGGAAACCCUGACCCAGCAACGCCGCGUGAGGGAAGAAGGCCUAACGGUUGUAAACCUCUGUCAUAUGGGAAGAAGGAAUGACAGUACCAUAUGAGGAAGCUCCGGCUAACUACGUGCCAGCAGCCGCGGUAAUACGUAGGGAUCAAGCGUUGUCCGGAAUUACUGGGCGUAAAGGGUGCGUAGGCGGCAUGUUAAGUUAGAUGUCAAAUACCCGGGCUUAACCCGGGGACGCAUCUAAAACUGGCGUGCUUGAGUGCAGGAGAGGAAAGCGGAAUUCCUAGUGUAGCGGUGAAAUGCGUAGAGAUUUGGAAGAACACCAGUGGCGAAGGCGACUUUCUGGACGAUGUCUGACGCUGAGGCGCGAAAGCUAGGGGAGCGAACGGGAUUAGAUACCCCGGUAGUCC
rnacentral:rRNA from 1 species